GUUGAAUAUGACUGAACAGCAUACUAAAACUGGAACAAUAUAGAGAUGAGCAUGGUCUCUGUGCAAGGACGAUAUGCAAAUUUGUGAAGCCUUCUCUAUUUUG
rnacentral:snRNA from 1 species